rnacentral:rRNA from 1 species
AACGAACGCUGGCGGCGUGCCUAACACAUGCAAGUCGUACGGGGAUAGAUAGCUUGCUAUUUAUUCUAGUGGCGCACGGGUGAGUAACGCGUAGAUAAUCUGCCUUGGACUCUGGGAUAACAUUUCGAAAGGGGUGCUAAUACCGGAUAAGCCCACGGGGACGUAAGUUCUUGCGGGAAAAGGGGGCCUCUGCAUAUGCUCUUGAUCCAAGAUGAGUCUGCGUACCAUUAGCUAGUUGGUAGGGUAGGAGCCUACCAAGGCGACGAUGGUUAGCUGGUCUGAGAGGAUGAUCAGCCACACUGGAACUGAGACACGGUCCAGACUCCUACGGGAGGCAGCAGUGGGGAAUUUUUGCGCAAUGGGGGAAACCCUGACGCAGCAACGCCGCGUGAGUGAUGAAGGCUUUCGGGUCGUAAAGCUCUGUCUAGAGGGAAGAAAUGAUAUUGGGUUAAUACCCUGAUUUCUUGACGGUACCUCUGAAGGAAGCACCGG